CUUUUGUUUUCUUAAGAUCAAGUCCACAGAAACCAGUAUUUUACGUCAACGUGAAUGCUAUUGUUGACUUCAUAAAAGUGGAGACAUACUCAGAGUAGCUGAUUGUAAAACUGAAAUACACCUGAGAGCACUCCUUACAAGCUAUUUGGGGAACAUCCAGAGAACAAAUAUGCCAGUGUUGAAAAUGCUUCGGACCAUUUCAUUCUAUCUUCUGAUAGGCCUAUGUCUAAUUGCACAUGGCACAGCCUCAGCUACAACCACUCCUGGUGCCACAAGCCCAGCUGCAACAUCCAUUCCUGGUGCCACAAGCCCAGCUGCAACAUCCAUUCCUGGUGCCACAAGCCCAGCUGCAACAUCCAUUCCUGGUGCCACAAGCCCAGCUGCAACAUCCAGUCCUGGUGCCACAAGCCCAGCUGCAACAUCCAGUCCUGGAGCUACAAGCCCAGCUAUAACAUCCAGUCCUGGUGCUACAAGUCAAGCUAUGACAUCCAGUCCUGGUGCUACAAGCCCAGCUAUGACAUCCACGGCUGGCAUCCCGAUAACCAUGAACACUGCUGCUGCCACAAGCAACACUAUGAACAACACAGCUGCCGUAACAACAGGAGUUGCUACAACAGCAAACACCACAAGCAGUGCCGCUACAUCAAUUGGAAUAUUCCACCAAAUCAGCCUUCUACUCUGCAUGGCUUUAUUAACAGUAGGCAUAUAAUCCUUGAUAUUAAUUAUUUUUAACACAACCUUAAUAAUUGGGGAUUUUCUUGAUUUUUGCAUUCCCUUUAACAUCUAUGUAGGCCGAUCAUGGGGGAUAUGUUUGUGGAGCAAAUAGGAUCUAUUUAACCUUGAUAACAUUAUCUUAUUGUAAUAUUAUACAAGUCAUUUUAUGAUGCAACGUGCUGUGGGCUUUAGAAAAUGACAUUCGAAAAACGUGUUUCACUAAAUGUUUGCGAAACUCCAAUAUUUGUUUGUCCCUUAAUUAAACAACUAUUAUAAUGUCAAUGUUUUGCAAGAGUUUAUCUACAAAAUAACAGUCUACCUGCAACAUUUACCUUACUAGUUGAACCUUACUUUUACCACUUUAGGAGGCAGACCAGCGGUAAGAUCAUCCAUUUAAAAUCUUAGGACAUAGGCCUACAUUAUAUAUAUAUAUAUGUAGGCAUACUCACUUUAAAAAAGGACCAUAAAAUCACAUCGUAAAAUCAUUAAUUAACUAGGUGGUUAAUCUUUUUAUCAUGUAAUGUACGACCCUUUUCAAAACCAACACGUCGAAUAUCUCUUUAGCAGUUGUGUUUAAUAUCGGGUUAAGUUAUACCCUAAAUCAGCGAUUGCAAAACGGGGGUAGCCUUUACCUGUGUGAGCAAAAUCCUAAUGUAAAUUUAAAUGUAUGGAUACAAAACACAAAUACAUCCUCACUAAAUGUAUCAAAAUCCAAUACAAAUUCCUGUUAGCAAAUGUAUUUAAUAAAAAUAAAUGAUUUUUUUUUAAUGCACGAAGUAGGCCUAGUCUGCCAUUUACUGUCGCCUCUGUUCCUGAGGAAAACCAGCAUGAUCUGCUUGAGGUUCAGCAGCAGGUUAUACAAUCAGGAUUGUUAAUGAUUCGUUAUCAGCUUUGAUGCUUAACGACAUGUUGUAUCUUUUUUCACCAAUUAAUUGUACAUACAUUUAAUGAUAAUGAAUACAUUUGAUAAAGAGUAAGAAUUACUGCAGUUAUGUUUGUUAGCAACCGGGUAAUAUAGCAGUCAAACUACUUUAUCGCAGAACUUCAUGAGUGGAUCUUUGGCCGAAAUCAUAAAGCUUUGAACAUUU